rnacentral:piRNA from 1 species
UGUGUGUUAUUUAGUGAUGACCAGCU